rnacentral:rRNA from 1 species
GACGAACGCUGGCGGCGUGCUUAACACAUGCAAGUCGAACGGAAAGUGCUCUUCGGAGUGACUCGAGUGGCGAACGGGUGAGUAACACGUGGGUGAUCUGCCCUGCACUUUGGGAUAAGCCUGGGAAACUGGGUCUAAUACCGAAUAGGACCACGCGCUUCAUGGUGUGUGGUGGAAAGCUUUUGCGGUGUGGGAUGGGCCCGCGGCCUAUCAGCUUGUUGGUGGGGUAAUGGCCUACCAAGGCGACGACGGGUAGCCGGCCUGAGAGGGUGACCGGCCACACUGGGACUGAGAUACGGCCCAGACUCCUACGGGAGGCAGCAGUGGGGAAUAUUGCACAAUGGGCGCAAGCCUGAUGCAGCGACGCCGCGUGAGGGAUGACGGCCUUCGGGUUGUAACCUCUUUCAGUAGGGACGAAGCGCAAGUGACGGUACCUAUAGAAGAAGGACCGGCCAACUACGUGCCAGCCGCCGCGGUAA